rnacentral:rRNA from 1 species
CCAGGACCAAGGUCAGCAGCAGGCGCGAAAAUUAUCGAAGCCCGCCGAGGGGCGAUAGUGAGGAGACGUGUAUAACGAAGUGCGUGUAAAGAACGUGCUAAUAACUGGAGGUCAAGUCUGGUGCCAGCAUCCGCGGUAAUUCCAGCUCCAGGGGUGUCUAUGAUGAUUGCUGCGAUUAAAAAGUCCGUAGUCAAUCUGACUGACUGGCCUGCAAUGUGAUUGAUUAAAGAACGAGCAGGGYUAGGAAAGCAGAGAAUUAGGAGCGACCGAGGGCUAGAGUAUUGAAUGGCGAGAGGUGAAAUUUGAUGACCCAUUCAGGAGUGACAAAGGCGAAGGCACUAGUCAAGGGCGAAUCCGAUGAUCAAGGACGUAGGCUAGAGUUUCGAAAACGAUUAGAGACCGGAGUAGUUCUAGCAGUAAACUAUGCCGACGCCGUGGUAUCUAAUUUUAACAGGUAUUGCGGAAGAGAAAUCAAGUAAGGCUUUGGGGAGAGUACGCGCGCAAGCGAUAAAUU